rnacentral:rRNA from 1 species
AAUAUUGGACAAUGGGCGCAAGCCUGAUCCAGCCAUGCCGCGUGAGUGAAGAAGGCCUUCGGGUUGUAAACUUCUUUUGUAAGGGAAUAAAGUGUAGUACGUGUAAUAUUUUGCAUGUACCUUACGAAUAAGGAUCGGCUACCUCCGUUCCAUCAGCCGCGGUAAUACGGAGGAUCCGAGCGUUAUCCGGAUUUAUUGGGUUUAAAGGGUGCGCAGGCGGGAGAUUAAGUCGGCGGUGAAAUUUUGCAGCUCAACUGUAAAAGUGCCUUCGAAACUGGUUUCCUUGAGUGUGGAUGAAGUAGGCGGAAUUUGUGGUGUAGCGGUGAAAUGCAUAGAUAUCACGAGGAACUCCGAUUGCGCAGGCAGCUUACUAAGCCAUAACUGACGCUCAGGCACGAAGGCGUGGGGAUCAAACAGG